GGGGCGGGAAGAGGGGCGCUCGCUCAGGGCCUGCCGCUGGUCCUCGACGACGGUGUCCUGCUGGACAACAACAGCCUACACAACACAGGACAAUGCUGCUGCUUUCUCAAGAGCUUGCCUUAAAACACAAAGAUGCUGUGACAUGGCCAACUGCAUUGCCAGACCCACCCAUGAUUGAAAAUGUGCGUGAUGCUAUUUGACAAGCUAUCAACACUUCACCUCUACCGUAAAACCUGCAAGAAUAUUCAAGCUUCACAAUUGAGCACACACCUGCAGUGAGCUGAGGAGAUCAUGGAGGUGAGUAACACUAUCCAGGACCUGCUGCAGGAAAAAAAAACAACAACCAAAUGUUAUUCUUUAAUCCUAGUGAUACUUAGAAUGACACACUCACACUGU